AUGACUCCAUUUGAGGAAUGGGAAAGGAAAAGGUUGAAACUCUCUUACCUAUGUACUUGGGGUUGUUUGGCGAAAGUCAAUAUACCAAUUCCCAAGAAGCGCAAGCUUGGACCAAAAACCGUGGAUUGUGUUCUUCUGGGCUAUGCUUUUCAUCGCAUCGGCUAUAGAUUUUUGAUAAUAAAAUCUGAGGUAUCCGACAUGCAUGUUGGUACGAUUAUGGAAUCAAAUGAUGCAACUUUCUUUGAGGACAUAUUUCCUAUGAAGGAUAUGUCGAGUUCAUCAAAUCAGGAGAUACCUACUCCAUCUAGUGAGGAAUUCACUAUAAUUCCUGAACCCACCAUUGCGAUGGAACACGUUGAGAAUCCUGUUGAGGGUAACAAUGGAACUCCUGUGAGGAGUAAGAGACAGAGGACUGCAAAGUCUUUUGGUGAUGGUUUCAUUGUGUACCUCGUGGAUGACACACCCAGGACUAUUUCAGAAGCCUAUGCAUCUCCUGAUGCUGACUACUGGAAGGAAGCUGUACGUAGCGAGAUGGAUUCCAUCUUAGCUAACGGUACCUGGGAGAUCACUGACCGUCCUUAUGGGUGCAAACCUGUAGGAUGUAAGUGGGUGUUCAAGAAGAAGCUUAGACCUGAUGGUACGAUUGAAAAGUACAAGGCACGGCUUGUGGCCAAGGGUUAUACCCAGAAAGAAGGUGAAGACUUCUUUGAUACUUACUCACCCGUGGCUAGACUGACCACAAUUCGGGUGCUACUAUCACUGGCUGCCUCACAUGGUCUUCUCGUUCAUCAAAUGGACGUUAAGACGGCUUUCCUCAAUGGAGAGUUGAAGGAGGAAAUUUACAUGGAUCAGCCAGAUGGUUUUGUAGUACCUGGUCAGGAAGGAAAGGUGUGCAAGUUAUUAAAGUCUUUAUAUGGCCUUAAACAAGCUCCUAAGGAGUGGCAUGAGAAGUUCGAAAGAACAUUAACUGCUGCCGGCUUUAUAGUAAACGAUGGUGACAAGUGCAUGUACUAUCUCUAUGGUGGGGGCGAAGGAGUUAUUCUUUGUCUGUAUGUCAACGACAUAUUGAUCUUUGGAACCAAACUUGAUUUAAUCAAGGAGGUUAAGGAUUUCUUAUCUCGCUGUUUUGAGAUGAAGGAUCUAGGAGUAGCUGAUGUUAUCUUAAACAUCAAGCUAUUGAGAGAUGAGAAUGGUGGGAUCACACUGCUUCAGUCUCAUUAUGUGGAAAAGGUCUUGAGUCGUUUUGGGUAUAGCGACUGCACGCCUUCUCCAACUCCAUAUGAUGCUAGUGUGUUUCUUCGAAAGAAUCGACGGAUUGCUAGAGAUCAACUGAGGUAUUCUCAGAUUAUUGGCUCGCUUAUGUAUUUGGCGAGUGCCACGAGGCCUGACAUCUCUUUUGCUGUGAGCAAGCUGAGUCGGUUUGUGUCAAAACCGGGAGAUGAUCAUUGGCAUGCGCUUGAGAGAGUUAUGCGCUAUUUGAAAGGCACCACGAGCUAUGGGAUUCACUACACCGGGUAUCCAAGGGUACUGGAGGGUUAUAGUGACUCAAACUAG
rnacentral:rRNA from 1 species